rnacentral:misc_RNA from 1 species
GAUGAAGAACGCAGCGAAAUGCGAUAAGUAGUGUGAAUUGCAGAAUUCAGUGAAUCAUCGAAUCUUUGAACGCACAUUGCGCCCCUUGGUAUCCCGAGGGGCAUGCCUGUUCGAGCGUCAUUUCACCACUCAAGCCUGGCUUGGUGUUGGGCGACGUCCUCUUUGGGGACGCGCCUCGAAACGCUCGGCGGCGUGGCACCGGCUUUAAGCGUAGCAGAAUCUUUCGCUUUGGAAGUCGGGGCCCCGUCUGCCGGAAGACCUGCUCGCAAGGUUGACCUCGGAUCAGGCAGGGAUACCCGCUGAACUUAAGCAUAUCAAUAAGCGGGGGA